GGCCACUGCUAUCGGGGUCCGACUAAGCCAUGCGAGUCAUGGGGUCCCUUCGGGGACACCGGCGAACGGCUCAGUAACACGUGGCUAACCUACCCUCGGGUGGGGGAUAACCUCGGGAAACUGAGGCUAAUCCCCCAUAGGGGAGGAGGUCUGGAACGAUCCCUCCCCGAAAGGCCUCGCGCCGCCCGAGGAUGGGGCCGCGGCGGAUUAGGUAGUUGGUGGGGUAACGGCCCACCAAGCCUACGAUCCGUACGGGCCCUGAGAGGGGGAGCCCGGAGAUGGACACUGAGACACGGGUCCAGGCCCUACGGGGCGCAGCAGGCGCGAAACCUCCGCAAUGCGCGAAAGCGUGACGGGGGGACCCCGAGUGCCCUGCCUCUGGUAGGGCUUUUCCGGAGUGUAAACAGCUCCGGGAAUAAGGGCUGGGCAAGUCCGGUGCCAGCAGCCGCGGUAAUACCGGCGGCCCAAGUGGUGGCCACUGUUAUUGGGCCUAAAGCGUCCGUAGCCGGCCCAGUAAGUCCCUGCUUAAAUCCCGCGGCUUAACCGCGGGGCUGGCGGGGAUACUGCUGGGCUUGGGACCGGGAGAGGCCGGGGGUACUCCAGGGGUAGCGGUGAAAUGCGUUGAUCCCUGGAGGACCACCUGUGGCGAAGGCGCCCGGCUGGAACGGGUCCGACGGUGAGGGACGAAGGCCGGGGGAGCAAACCGGAUUAGAUACCCGGGUAGUCCCGGCUGUAAACUCUGCGGACUAGGUAUUGCGUGCCCUUCGGGGGCACGCAGUGCCGAAGGGAAGCCGUUAAGUCCGCCGCCUGGGGAGUACGGUCGCAAGACUGAAACUUAAAGGAAUUGGCGGGGGAGCACUACAACGGGUGGAGCCUGCGGUUUAAUUGGAUUCAACGCCGGGAAUCUCACCAGGGGCGACGGCAGGAUGAAGGCCAGGUUGACGACCUUGCCAGACGCGCCGAGAGGUGGUGCAUGGCCGUCGUCAGCUCGUACCGUGAGGCGUCCUGUUAAGUCAGGUAACGAGCGAGACCCGUGCCCCAUGUUGCUACCUUCCCCUCCGGGGGAAGGGCACUCAUGGGGGACCGCCGCCGAAAAGGCGGAGGAAGGUGCGGGCAACGACAGGUCCGCA
rnacentral:rRNA from 1 species